UAUUUAGUAGAAACCUCUAUUUGAGGCUGGCCAUUAUGCUGAAAAAUGCAGAAAUAUUGGAAUAGACCAAUUGCUAUCAAAGCAAUAAUUUUGCUUUGGGUUAUUUUGCAAAAAUUACUUUAAUUAAGGUUAGGGAAAAUUCUAGCUAAUUCGAAAACUUACGGCAAUGCUUUGUUAUAAUGUGAUAUUCUUCCUACAUCUCAUCCCUUAAAUACCCUAUGUUCCCGGCCCUGGUAUUCGUUAAUCGGCCACUGAGAAUACUUUCUUUCCUACAUGAAUCGCCGAAUCGCAAAAACAUCACAAAGCGCUCUGCGAUCCUUGUCAAAUUUUUUUAUGGAAGAGAGGCCGAGAAAAUUGGCGCGCUUUUUCUUGCUCGUUUCCAAUCCCAAGUCCUACCUCAAAUCAAUCUAAUCAGUGAAUCAAACUCGAAAGAAAAGCAUUGCAGAAAAUGGUUCGGUCAGUAAAAAGAAGAAACGAAGAUUCUUCAAAGAGUCAAGUGACAGCCAAGAAAGGAAGUCAUUUGAAACCAACCGGUGAAAGUCAAAAACGGAAAUCAAAGCUGAAUAAUGUCAUUCUUGAUGGUGGUUGGGAUGAUGAUGAUGAAGAUGAUGGCAGUUUUUUCAAAAAUUUCUUGAAAUUAAAAGGAUUUUCAUUUGAAAAAGAUGAAAUAAGAUUUAAAUCAGAGGAAGACCAAGUAGUUUUUCAAAAGGAUUUUCAAAUUUCCUUAAAAAGUCACAAAAAUUAUCCACAGGUAGUGGACUUGUUUGUUGAUGGAUUUGAGUCUUUCAUUAUAGAAAAUAACAGAUUUAUACUCUGUCUUGUUCCAAUAUCACGAUCAAUGUCUGAUGAAACAGUCUCGUCGAGCAAAUUUUGUGAAAGCCUUGCCAAAGUACUUCUGGGAAUUGAUAUGUUACAGGCAAAAAUUAUCAAUUGCCUAAUUGAGAAGCUCGCACUAUUGUCGUACAAGGAUGGCUCGGUCAGUUGUAAUUAUCAAGGACGUAACUUGGACAUUGCUCAGUUGAUAAUUAAUCAAUUUAGGUGGAUGAAUCAUAUUGUUGAAGAAAAAGUAUUGUAUUCCAAGCUGUUUGAGGUGAUUUCAGUCUCGGAAUUAGAAAUACAGAGAAUGCUAAUACUUUGCUUACCCGAUCUAAUCAGUGACUCGAAACACGCGGAAGUGUGCCAACAGCUAAUGGAAAUACUGCAGCAAAAUUCACAGCUCACAGCAUCAGUGAUCGAAGCAUUCACUAGUCUAAAUCUCGCUGGAUCUUUGCUCACAGAGGUUCGUCAGUCCGUCUUGGAUAUUCUAGACUCCGCGAAUAUGGAAGAUUGCCCUGCCUGUGUUCGAUUCAUACUGCAGUCCAUUGGCGACGAAGACUGUGUUCAGGUAAUUGGUGCUCUAAGAUCAAGGUUGGUUUUUGAAGAGGAAAAUCUUUAUAAUGCUCCAGGCUUUUGCUCAACCGCCAGGGAGAAACAACAGGAAUGCAGAGAUAAUGAAUCCCUAAUUCUUGACUUCAUAAAGCUUGCAAUCCGUUUUCAAAAGUCAGUUGCAAGUGGAUGGUUGAAGGUUAUUGAAAGUGUUAAUGACCCUGCGCAAAGCAAAAUUGUAGACUUAUAUGUAUUAGUUGUCAUUCACGGCAUCAGCAUCAAGAAGAAGUCGGUUGAAUCUUUACUCAGGCAAAAGCUCAAAUCGAAUGCAUUAAGCAAAGCUCUGGUGACGAAAGCAUUCACCUCUCAUAGUCAGGCAUUUAUAGACCUAUUCAAGGAUGUAUUAUUAAUUGCUGAGACGUUAUUUAGGUCUCCAGAAAUCGUCAUCUCAAACUUCGGGUCCAAAAUCUACGAACAAGCCUUUGUAAAUUUCGAUUCUUACUGUCAACAGGAGGUUAUCGCAGCGUUAGUAACACACAUAGGAAGUGGACUUGAAAAUGACAUUGAGUCAGCGUUUGAUGUUCUUAGCCAAUUGGUUGAAGCACAUCCAAAUAAAAUGGCACCGUUUGCAAUUUUUUUAAAGGGUAUACUGGAUCAUUUGAACAACCUCACAAUCUCUCAAAUGCGCCGCCUAUUUUCAAUGAUAAGUUCCAUUGUUAUUCAGCAUACGAAAUCAGGAACCGUGUUUGAGGACGAUAUGCAUAUUCUUAUUCGGAAGAGAAUGUCAAAUCCAUCGUUAAAGAACAAGAGAAUCGGCAUCAUUGGUUCCGUCAUGAUUGCAGCUAGUAUGUCAAAGAAAAGAUCUGUUGCCAAAGGUGACGAGAAUCUUAAUUUCUCAAACUGUCCAGAGACAUCACGUGAUUUGGAGACAAGUGCUCUAAAAGAGUUGAUUAAUCUUCUGGAAAUGACGAGAAGUUGCGCAAGUAAAGAUCCUGAAGCAGCAGCUCUAUUCUACGAGGAAUUGUCAGCCGUUGUCGCAGGAAAGCAAGUACAUCCACAGAUUCUGCAGUGGAUAACUCAAACGGUUUCCGAAAGUUUUCAAGAUGCGUUCGUGAUAGCAACUGACAAUUUUAAAACCACCGACAAUCUUGAGUUAUUAUUCAAUAUCGAGGAAGAAAGUUCUAUUGCCAUCAACCUAUUCCCAUUGCUCCUUAAUGACCUACAAGAAGGACAGCAGCUGUGCUCCUCGAGCUCUUCUGUAGCAAAAGCGUCUGCUAUCACCUACAUGAGCCCUCUGUUUCGUCUUCUCGCAAUUUGUGAAAGUGUAAGUAAUGACGGAAAUUUGGAAGAGAUAGAAGCAUUAUUAGGUUGUUCCUUGAUUCUGUUUGGCAGAGAAAACCUAGACAAAUUAAAUUCUGUUAGCACAGCGGACAAGGAGCUUAUAUGCAAAGGCCUGUUUUACACAAUCAACUGGUUAAGAGAGGUUGUUAAUGCAUUUGCUGAUCAAGAUGAUCCUUCAAUAAGAGGCAAAGUUAUUUGCCGGAUCAAGACUAUUGCAUCACUUGGGGAAAUAUUAAAUAAGAUUCUUCCAGAUCUUCCGAAUUUCAUACCACCACGUGCAGUUUUUGAUGCUGAAGAUACCCCUUUCAAACCGCUUCAGAUAUCUAACACGUGCAAAGGAAAACGGAAAAGGAAAGCACAAAGAAAAGAAACUACCUACAAAGACUUGUCAAAUGCUUCAUUGAAAGAGAAGUGUACAGAAAACGAAAGAGACAGCGUUUCAGAGGAAAAAACUGAGGAUCCAAUUGACCUAGGCCCAGUUUUCCAAUGGUGGAACUAUCGAUGCUUUUUAAGAGAAUUCGACAUGAAGGUUUUUAAGGUCUUGCAGUACGGCUCUGUAUCAAAAAAUGUCUUGGACUCAGAAAUGAAUACCAAGGAAACUGAGAUCAUUUCCUUAAGUCCAGCAAGUCUUCAGAUGCUGUUAAAGGAUCUGGAAUGCAAAGCUUUAUAUGCAAUACCUUCUUCGAAAGCUGUUAGAAAAUCUCUUUUGAAGCGAAAUGCCAAUAAAGACAUUGGGUUUUCCCGGUUGUGCCAACUUUCAAGUACACAAGCAGCUGAAAUGUUUAUCGACUUAGUUCCAUCUUUGUGCAGUAAUUUAGAAGAAAUAAAUGCCCAUUUCCAGUGCAUGCAAGAUAAAUCUGACGGUCAUAUUGUUACCUCCAAUAAUGAUGAAAAAGAUCCAAGUGAUGCCAUGCUAUCCAGCUUCCAGUCGAUAUUAUCUUGCUUUCAGAGAAUACUGUCUUGGGAUAGUCUCAAAGAUACUGCUUGCACUUCCCAUCUGAAGACUUUUUUAAUGCAUAUAGCCUGUCGAAUUCAAAGUUUUGAUAAAGAUGAAGCCACUAUACCAACGAUGUUGAGGGUGGUGGUGCACUACUUUGCUGAAUUGUGUUCAAAUGCAAGUACCCUAGUGACAACUUGCUUAGUUUUGAAAAUAUUGGAUGCAUUACAGGGGUUCGAUGAAAGUGAAUAUACUAAAACAACAAUUUUCACCAUUGCUGAUGAAAGCUUAAGAAAGGAAUGGGUGAAUGAACAAAACUGGAAUAGACUGUUGUACAAUGAGGCUCUUUCAAACAUCAUGAAGUUGCAUUUAGAUACCUCUACUAAGACACUAGACGUUUUGGAGCAAUAUACAAGUUUUUUGGGAGACUUUUUGGAUCAGGGAGCUUGCCAGUCGAUGCUGCCGUGUUUAAAUAAAAACACAUUUAAUAUAUUUUACAAAGUUUUGAGUGAACACCUGCCACUUGUUAUGAAAAGAGAUUUGUCAUGCAAGAGCAAUACUGUUUUUGAAUCAGAGAGUUUGCAAAUAUUAGAUUCUACAAAAUGUUGUGUCAAGAUAUUCAAUUCGUUAACUUGUUUUGUUAAGGUGGUAGAAACACGAUCCGUUCUUGGCAGUGCCCUAAAGACCGGUUUCACAUUCAUUUUGGAUUUGAAGUUGGUUCGAGAAAAAAGGUUAAUGACGAUCAAACUUGACAGAACAGUUACGGGAUGCGGCGAUAAGAGGUAAACAAUGACUCUGUUUUUAAGCUUUAACCAUUCUGAGCGCCUGAACACAGCUUAAAUACACCAGUUUGAUGGCAGAAAGGUUUUUGAAUGUGAAGGAAAAGUUAAUAUGUCUAGGAAGGUAAUGUGCUCUGCUGAGAUGCAGCAAAACUUUUUGCAACUCACAUGGAAUACACCUUUUCAAUAUCCGCAUGUUCAAUUUGCAUAAAGAGACUGGGGUGAGCAACCGGAUGAAAAAGUUGCCAGGGGCCGAUGUUUACAUAUGGAUACUAUGUUUACUGGCAACUAAUCACUGAUCGGAUUAACAUGUAAAGUAUUAAAAUUUGUGAAUUUUCACUUUUUAGCCUGUUAUCUCGAGAACUAUUGAAGGUUGUCAUACCUUCCAGAGCCACCCCCAUAGCACCAACCUGCAUACAGAAGCAAAAUAUCACACCAUUGAGUCUUAAAUGGGGCUUGCCGAACAUAAUAAUAUUUGUUAUAUGUGAAGAAUACCAAAUGGGGAGAGUGGAAUUGUGCUAAGUGGUAUUGUUAAACUAAAGGCCAUCAGCAUUUAAACUUGGACAAAGGCAUGUGCUGACCAUGUGGUUGUUGUUGAAACCCCCCAUAUCCAGACAUCAAAAUAUGUGGAAUGCUAACCUUUUGCGACGUAAAAUGUUUAAUGAAUCUUUCCUAGAAGAACUAAAAUCUUUCGAGUUUCUUUUAAGCAGUGUUUUUCUAGACAAUAUGUUUGUAUUUUUAAGGUCUUGAUUUCAAGGAAUUCACACAAUUGAAAAAAGUUAAAUGCUGCCUCGGCCUAUUUUUCAAGAUAGAAACCAGAGGGAGUUGGCUGAAAAAUUGUCGAAGAAUGCCUUCAACUGGCUUGAAGAGCAUGACAAAAAAGAAUAUGUUAGAGUUAGAAUGGCCUUCACUUCAGACACCAUUUCUCUAUUAGAUAACAGCUGUUCGCAGACUUUGAAAAUGGAAUAAAUUUAGAAAAUUGUUGCAUCGUAUACGCGGGUAAGAAACAAAACUUCUGAGAUCUUCAAAGCACUUUCCUUUUACUUCAAAGGGAUGCGUGGCAAGAGUAUCAUCAGAUUAUAACCUUACUUUUGAAGUGAGGCCUCGGUCUUGCGUGAGCUUUUGUUAGAUCAAACAUCCUGAUAUUGGUUUAUACCCAAGGUUUAUAGCUUAAAUCUUUUGAACUAUACACUGUGAAAGGGGUGGAAAAAACAAUUUUUAAUUGUGACAUUUUCAUAGUAAUUGAAAAAAUGAAUAAAGGCCAACUAAAUCCCAAACAGCUCUCGAAUACAAGGUUAUAGAAUUUGUUGUAAUGUUAUUCGACUUUAUAGAUAAAUCUAGAGCACUUGAAAAAGUGAAAUUUUUUAUAUUUCUAAAACUGUUUCUAUUUCCGUUUUCAUUUUUAUUUGUUCGUGUGAGGUAAUGAAAUUUCAAUUUCAAAUUUUUGCUCACAAUCUACUGCUGUCAUUGUGUCUUCAUUUUUGUGAUAUGGAAGAUAAAGCAAAUUGUGCCUUAUUCAAUAAAGAUCUGCUAGAUGGUCAACCAUUUGUUGGUUUACGCGAAAAGGGAACAAAUAUCACAAAAAGAAAAUGAAGAGCGUAAAAGUACCAUACAGUCUACAGCUGGACAAAUAGUACACUGGAAAUUCCGAAAAGAAUAUAACAGCCCAUUUGUAUUUGAUUGCGAAAAAAGAAAAAUUAAUGAGAAUUCACUGAUUCAAAACCUUGCAAGCGGUCACAGGGUUCUUCAAAGGAUUUCCUACGCAAGGCCAUUUUUUGGUUAACCUAGGAAAUCUAGAGGCAAGCAGGGGCCCUUUGAAUGUAUUCCUGUGCGACUCGUGAUUUCCAAAGAACUAUUUCUACAGCUUUGCCAAGAGAGAUUAAAAGAAUGGCCAUUUGCAGUUUCAGGUGGAAUGGAGUAUGCUCAGGACCUAUAUUUGGCUGAAGGAUUUUUCUGCCAUAGUGAGGACUUUCGCACAGGCAAGAAGUUUCCAUCACAAUUUGCUACUGAGCACGAGACUGGCAAAAAGAGGAGGCCUGAAAAAUGCUAUUCAGAAUGAAGAUUUGCAUUAAGAGACAUGGUACUUUCUAGAGAAUGACAAUAAGCAACUUACAAUUGAUAACUUAUGCAAGAAACUGAGAGAAUUUCUUGAUAAAGACAAGGUGCUCUACAGUAGAAGGUAUACGAGGACGAGAUGAAUUUGACCAUUCUAAAGACCAGGUUAUCAUAGCCGGACGGAUUUGUAGGUUAGAUGUUGCAUCUCUUUGCACUACAUACAUACAGACACAUUUCAUUCAAUCUGCGAGAGAUGUUAUCGUGCAAGAGAUAGGAAGUCAAAAGCAUAAAGUCUGAUUGACACAGUUCAGAUUGGGGCCUUAGCACACAUUCGUGACACAUCGUCUAUCUAGAUAGUCAAAGUCAAUCUUCUUGCUGCCGUCCCUGACUACAGUUUUCCACACCAUGCGGUCAAAUGCCAUUGCUUCCCAGUCUUCCAGGGGUGUGUUCAUUUUCGUGAGAUCCCUCUUGGCACAGUCUUUGAACCUCAGUUUGGGCUGUUCUCUCUGUCUUGACCUGCUGCUUAGCUCACCAUCGAGUAUGUCUUAUGGCAGCCGCCUGUCCUCCACCCAAUGUGGAACAUUGAAUGGCUUCUUGCGCGGGGACAUGGUCCUUCCAGGACGCACCGAUGAUUCUGCAGAGAUUGCACAUAUGAAAAGAGUUCAACUUCCUUUCGUGUUUAGUGUAUGUUGUCCAGGUUUCGGAUCCAGAAAGAAGUACACUCAGCAUGCAGGUCUGAAAGGAACGUGUCUUUGUUUUCUCAGUAAGUUGUUUGUUGUUACAGGCACGAGCACGUAGCUGGCUGAAGGUGGUUGCCGCUUUGCUGAUUCGGACAUCUGUCUCUCUAUCGAGGGACAGAUCAGUACUGAUGGUGGAGCACAGAUAACAGAAUUGGUGGACAACGUUCAACUUUUGGUUUUCCACUUGGAUUGCUGGGCUGUCGGCUGUUGAGCAAUUCAUAGCAACCAUUUUCUUGGUGCUCUGUCUCCAUAGGCCACGCUCAGUCAGUCUAUAAGAAUUUUGCAGACCUUCCGGACCGUGGGAAACAAAAACGCCAUCAUCAGCGAAAAGUAGCUUUUUUACAAGAACUCGGCGUACUUUUGUUUUGGAUUUAACUCGGCGUACUUAGCUAUUGAAUUGUUUUUACAAAUUUUACUUUUGGUAAAGAUAUUGAUGCUAAAUUUUGUAAGAUUGGUCAAGCUUUGAUACAAAAAUGAAGACCAAAGAUGCCUCUGGUGCAUCUACUGCUUGGUUUAGGUAAGCAACUCCAUCAUAACGGAACCUUUCAUAAAGACUCUUGAUAGACAUUGUUUUUAAGCUUGGUUUUCUUUAUCAUACACUGAAGUAGAAACGUUCAUGCAAUAUGCUGCUGUUUCACAGAAAAUUGGCGUCGAGUAUGUUGCCAAUUGCACUUUUGUUCAAUUUGCACUGACAUUGUUGAUCAUGAUAAUUGAACGUUUUAGAGGGCCGGAGGGCCGUGCUAUCUUUCGGGUAAUGGCGAUAAGGGCAUGGUGAUGACGGCCACCUUUACACAAGCCGCUCCACUGGAUCGUUCAAUUGCCUUCAAGAAACUUGUUGUUGUUGUAAAUUUUUUUUACAUCGAUCACAAAUAGUUGCAAAUAGUCUACAAAACACAAAUUUACAGCUAAACUAACCUACAUCGAUGGCUAAGGUAGAUUUAAAAUAGGUUUACUGAAACAAUAGGUUGGUUAAAGUCAAGUUUUAAAAAUCGUAUAAUUUUCUAUGUGGUUUAUACAUUAUUUACAAUAAAACAACAGGCAUUGCUGUUAUCCGCAGGGUCAUCCCAUUGUUUUAUCAAACGUUUGAACGUUUUUAGGUUGUCUGACGAUUUUUUUUCAUUUGGCAAAUAGUUCCAGAUCUGUAGUCCUAAGAACUUGAAGUGAUAUUAUUGUAAAUGGAAGAAUCAAGAGUCAAGGGCUUGCGAGUAAUAGCUGAGAAAAUUUAUGCAUGCUACUCUGUUCUCAUAUGCCAUUCUUAUUAGAAACAUCAGCUAAUGUCGUCUACCAGUUUUCAGUUACAAGAAGUUUCAGAUAACGCAAUAGCUGUCGAAGUAUUUGCAAAGGAUUCCCGGAAUUGAUAUCUGCUGAUGAGAACCUGCUGCAAUUUUUAACAAUAAUCACAGCCAUAUCGAAGGUAUACAAAAAAUAGAAGGUGGGAAUAUAUUUGCAGAUGAUAUACAAAACACACGUGUACACCCUCGCUGCAGUAUGCAGAAAUGAUCAAGAUAUUGCAAAACUUCUUAUUUGUUAAGCCUAACGGUCUGCAUUUAAAAUCAUUCCAGCUGAUGCUACCCUUCUUUGCAGGAGCAGGCUUUAAUCUUUAAGCCAAAAGUUCUUAUCUAAACCUGCAACUAAUGAAUGAGUUACCAGAGAAAAUCCUUAUUUUUGUGGAACAUUUUAACAUAGCUUUCAUGUUGAUAGACAAAGUGCUCACAGUUACACCGGCCAAAUGACACGGUAGCCAAGGACACGACGGCUAAAAGACACGACAGCCAAACGACACGGCGGCCAAAUGACACAUCAACCAAAUGACACAGCGGCCAAACGCGUGGAAAUUGAAUCACAGAACUCGUGACUUAACUGGAUUCUGAACAAGCCUGUUUUUGCAGAUGGCAAUAUAGCAAUGCAGCAAUUUCUUAGGGUAGACAUAGUCAUAAGAAAAAGAUAGUCUGGAAACGAACAAUCGAUCAUUGUUCUAUCUUUUUGUUAACAAAUCAAGACUAGUACCCAGUUCUCUACAUGCACACGAUUUUAGGCCGCUUUUCUCACAGUUUGUGUCACGCUAUGGCCGAUAAUGCUUAGUUUUUCGUAAAAAUGCCAGGUGAUAACUGUUCGAUUUAUGGCUGUCCAGUUUCAAGAAGAUGUAAAUAUAAAGGUAUAUCGUUAUUUAAAAUUCCAUCAGGCGAAGGAAAGUUUGAAACCGAUUGGAGACAGAAGCUCGUUGCUGUUAUUACUCGAGAUAGAGUCAUUGACGGACCGCUGAGAGCCCGAAUUAAUAACAAAAAAUUGUUCAUUUGCCAACGUCAUUUUGCUGAGGAUCAGUACCAUCGUCACGACAAUAAAUGCACAUUGGUUCCUGGUGCUAUUCCCGCUCUGAAUCUUCCCGUUAAAAGUAUUUCUUCCUCGUCUUCUGCAAGUAAACCUCGCAAAUCAGCAGAUGCUAUCCUAGACAAGAAAUCAUCGCAUGCAAGUUUUUUGGAGCCAUCAGGCCUAGUUGAACAACAGUUUGAAUACUAUAAUUCUUUCGGUGAAUUUGCAACUCGUGCCCGUGCUCUCAAGCUUGCUGGUUGGAAUAUUUCUACUGAUUUGAGCAGCAGUCUUUCAUUCACUUUCGCUGAUCAUGUUCAUAUGGUACCAAAGUACGAAAUUCAUGUCGAAGAAGAUCUUUCCUUCACAGUUCGUAUGCUCCUGUAGAGUCUUCCUGCUUCUCAUGCUUUGUACGCUGAAAAUCAACGUUCUGUGAGAUAUAUUACAAUAUCUAAUUUGAUCAAAUCUACAAUAUCUUUGGAAAUUUGCCCAGGCUUACCACAUCAGUUUGUUGGUGGUUGCAUUGAGCAUUCCGUACCCAAGGUGUAUAACAGCACAAUAGAUAACCUUUUACAUCAAAGUAAAUGGUAUCGCCCACCUUCUUGUCUUGUUUUAAUUUCUCAAUCUUCUGUAAAGUGUGCAGAGUGCAUGAUUGUAGAGUCAAAAGAGAAACUGAGUUUGAAAAGGAAGAGAGAUAAUUUAGCACUUCCUGCUAAAUUAAAAGCUCCAAUUUCUUCAACAUCCUCAGAGCGUGUGAAACUUACCAUGCAAAAUUACCGUUUUGAAAACAAGAAAUUGAGAGAGGAAAUUAUUAUCAUGAAAGAAGAAAUCAUACAAAAUUCCCUGAAAGUUGAUGAUAACAUUAGUAAUGACUUAAUAUCCAUUAUGUCUGGUGCUGAUAAAAGCAGAAUUCCUCCUUUUAUGAAACUAUUCUGGAAAGAACAGCAAAAAUAUCUAUCGACAUCCAAAACUAGUGUUCGCUAUUACCCCAUGAUAAUUCGGUACUGCUUAGGUCUGGCUGCCAAAUCUCCAGCUGUUUACGAUGAGAUUCGCCUUGAUGAAAAAACAAACAGUGGGUUUGUGGUUUUGCCAAGUCGCAGACAACUCCGAAACUAUAAAAACUAUAUUCGUCCGAAGCAAGGUUUCAAUAAAGACAUUAUCCAAGAGUUAUCAACCAUCGUAUCUCAGUUCCAGGAAAUUGAGAAAUAUGGCAUCAUACUGUUAGAUGAGAUGAAAAUUAAAGAAGAUUUAGUUUGGGAUAAACAUACUGGAGAAUUAUCGGUUUUGUUGAUUUGGGUGAUCCUGAGCUCAAUUUUGCAACUUUAAAGAAAUCUAAUGAAUUAGCAUCACACGUAUUGGUUUUUCUGUUGAGAAGGAUUGUCAACCCUUUGAAAUUUUCAUUUGCCAAUUUUGCCACUACAAAUGCAAAAUCAACCCAACUCUUUGCAUUAUUUUGGAAAGCAGUUGGGAUUCUUGAAGAUAAGUGUGGUGUGAAAGUUGUUGGUGUCACAAGUGAUGGUGCAUCUGCAAACAGAAGUAUGUAUCGGAUGCAUUUACAUAUGACCCGUGUUGAAGAUGUAAACACAGGUGUAGAUGUUAUCUACCGCACACGCAAUGUUAUGGCUCAGGAAGAAAGAUACAUCUACUUUUUUGCAGAUCCUCCUCAUUUGCUCAAAACUGCAAGAAAUUGUCUUCGCAACUCUUUUGCUGGGUCAUGCAGCAGAGGCAUGUGGAAUAAUGGGGAUUUCUUGACAUGGAAUCAUAUAUCAAAGCUUUUCUAUGAUGGUGUAGAUUGUGGCUUGCAUCUGGUGCCAAAACUAACAAAUGACCACAUCAAUUUGUCAAGCUUCUCUGUCAUGAAUGUCAGGCUUGCAGCUCAGGUUUUGAGUGAGUCAGUAUCACAAGCCGUUCAAACAUUUGGUCCAACUGAAGCACAUGCUACUGCCACAUAUUGCCAAAUGUUUGAUAAAUUCUUUGAUUGUAUGAAUGUAAGGAACACUACAGAGUUUGGUAAAAAAGCAAAGCCCUUUUUGAAGCCCUACAAGUCCAAACAAGAUGAACGCUUUAUAUGGUUGACAAAUGUCUUCCUGAAAUACCUUGCAGACUGGAAAGAUUCAGUUGAUGCUCGCCCUGGUGUUUUUUCUCAACAUGAUAGAGAAAAAAUGUUCAUCUCUUGGCAAACACAUGAAGGUGUAAAGAUUACUGUACACUCCUGUAUUGAGCUUCUCCAGUACCUACUUCGGAAAGGUGUGCCAUACAUUUUGACCGAACGAUUCUGCCAAGACCCUUUGGAAAAUUACUUUGGGCGUCCGAGAUCACUUGGUCAUCGGAAAGACAACCCAUCACUGCGUGACAUAGGCUACAAUGAUAACACAAUCCGCACAACCAAACUUUUUCAGCCGAUCACAGGAAACUGUUACAAUGAUGAUUCCAUGAAGUAAAAAGAAUGAUGUUACCCAACCCUCCAGCCCAAGAAGUAACAAGAAAGCUAAUAGAAAAAAAUUAUGUACAUGUACAAGAAAAGAUUCUCAUUAUCAUUAAAUAGCUAACAAUAUCAGGUGAUUAAAGGAGAUUAGAAAUAAAGUCUACUAAGGUAAAUCAAAAACCUUACAGAAUCAACAGUUCCCAUAUGUAACACUUUAAAACAUAAACAAUACUUAUAGGAUUUAGAUAUCUGAUAUUCAAAUACUUAUAGGACUUAGAUGGGUUGAUACACUUUUUAGUUGUGUAUAGUAACAAUGUUAUCUUUUCCAGGAUCAAUGUUUUCAAUUUUAUUUGCUUCAAUAUUCACAUAUUUCCAGAUUGACAAAUUACAAAGUUUCUUUUGUAUAUUUAUAAGGCCCUAUAGUGAUAGUGAUACAUGCCCCAGUAUGUUGAAGGGGCUUAUGUUCUUAGGCUGUCUUUAUACCUGAAAAUUCAAAUUUAGUAUAUAUUUUUAUAUAAAAGUGUAUGAGUGUAUGUAUGAACUAUGGUGCUCUGCUAAUAAAAGUCUGAGACAGCUCUUACCAAGGCCUGGGGCAUGAAAUGGCUUUAUAGCAACAAUAUUUUGUCUAAUAUUUAACUUUUUGAUCACUUCUGUUUCCCAUAAAUCUUCUCAACACUUUCAUUGUAUUUAAUUUAAAUUUUUUCAAUAAUUUUUCAAAAGUGGAUUUUAAAUUACAGUGGGGUAUAACAAGAUAAUUCGCACAAACAAGCUUUUGGUUACAAGCCUUAUUUUUAUGAACUUUGAUCUGCCAUGUCUUCAUUUUUUUAUCAACAUGUCUGGAGUUCCGUUUUCUUUGCAAUAAAAUCUUUGUAUGAAUUAUAUAAACAUAUAUAUAUACACUUGGUAAGCAAAAGUAUUGCACAGGCUGAGACAGAAAUGGCCGCUCCGCAGCAAAAACUUUUUAUCAAACCAAAAUUAAAGUGGCCAUAGUAAGUUUCAUAAAAGUUAUAAGAUGACUUUUUAACUGGAAUAUGUUGGAUAAUUUAUCAAGGUUUGCUGGUGAAAUAGUUUAUGCAUGAAUAUUCUUGAUUUUUGCCUAUUUCUAAACAAUCAACAUAUCGCAAAAACAAAAAAAAUUGAGCCAUGAUGAUUGAAGUACCUGUGAAACAUUUGCAAUAAAAAGUUCAUCUUUGCACCAAUUUGCGAUAUCUUCUUAUAAUGAACUCGGGGGUACUUACUUUAUGCUUGGGUGUCUAGAACUGCUCAUUUUCCUCACUUUUGUUGGAGUAUCUGCUAAAUGUUUUGGUCGGAAAUUUUUGGAGCAACAAUGGGCCUAAUCGCAGCGGCCGCUUCGUUAUAUAUUGCAGCAAAAUUCAAUCAAUAAAAUGUGUCACAAAUCGUAAAGUCCAUCUUUUCCAACCGAUUUCCAUUUUGCAAUGGGAACAAAUAAUGUUGCAAAUUGCGUAAAACAACAUUUCGUCCUCUCAUCAAAUGAAAAUACCAAAUUUCCCGCGAUAAACAGGCUCACUCAAGUGCCUCAAUAGCUGUAAAAGAGUAGGCGUAAUAAAAUGGCUUAAAACAUGCCACUUUCCACCAAAUACAAGUCCAUUUAUGAUCAACUUGGUACUUCAAUACCUUAAUGUGAUCUUGCAAAUGUUUUUCUGAACUUAUCAUGUCGCGAUUAAUAGAACCUGUUACUAAACUUUUUGAUAAAGUUUUGGCAAGUCUCUCAAAGGUUUCGAAGCUGGGAGACUGUUCAAUAAAAAGUUAAAAAAUUUUAUUUUUUAAAAAGUAACUUUUUCAAUUUCUAAAUUAAAAGUGUUGUCAACGGUUUGAAGUUUGGUUUGAUUAGAUUUUAACCAUAAAAAGACUCCUAAUGGCUUCACAAAAGUGGUUUGAAUUUCGAUCGCUUUGUUGUUGCCAACGCGGUCGCCAUUACUGAAUUGUCAAACCCGUGCAAUACUUUUACUCACUAAGUGUAUGUAUAUCAAACACAAUUAAGAUUCCUUCAAAAGUUGAUGUUUUCCUAUAGAAACCUAUUUUUUUGAAAAAAUUACACAUAAUCUAGCAGUAUUAAGUUAUAUAUACUUCAGGAGUUGAUUUGAAUUAAUGAAACUGUUGUUUUUUAGAUUGUGUAGAUAGUUUGUUUGAAAUUAACAAGAUACCUAGAUGUCCUAUGUCAUAUAGAGUGGUCCUACAAUUAACACAUGAAACACUGAAUACGAAUUGUGAAUAAUCAUGCAUAAAAGGGCAUUACAUAUAAGGUCCUUAAUGCCCUUUGGUCAAGACUCCCUGUUGUUUUUUUCAAUUCUGUGCGAAGUGAUCUUGAUUUCUUAUUCCUUGAUUGGAUUUUAUGCACUUCAACCUGGUCAUUAAUAUGUGAAAAUGUUCUGACACGAACAUACAGCAUUAUCAUAUGUUCCCGCAAAUUCAAUGCUACUUCCUUCUUGACUUUCUCUGAAGCUUGAUUGCAUAAAAUCUUGUAAUUUGCCAAAACAAUCGGAUUUUUCAUUAAAUCAGAUACCAACUGUUUGCUAUCAAUUCUUUUGCUCAACGUAUUCACAAACUGCCUGAACUUUGUUUAAACAAGUGUAAAGAUAUUAAAUGCCUCAGAUGUAACAUUCCAAAGCCCCCCUCUAUCUUUGGCAUUUGUGAACAAGCUUUUUCCAGACGAGCUGCUUUCUAAAGCUGACUUUCCAGCAAGUAAAAUGCUGAGACUUUGAUUUCCAAGCAUAUUCUUUGUGUUAUUUGAUCGCCUGAUACGUCGAUAAACUGUACCAAAAACAAAGCCACUCAGGUACUGGAUAAGAUUGACUUCUUUUACUGAAAAGGGUACAUGUUGACUGGAACCAACAUUACCUUCUUUGACAAUAGCACCAGCUAGAUGUGACAAAACAUGAUUUGCAACUUCAAACCCCAAGAUAACUGAGCCCCAAUGGGAAAGAUUCUUAAAAACUGCUUCAUCCGAAGACACACAUCUGUAAAAAUCUGGGUAGAACUUUUCAGCGCUUCCCUUGAAAUCGCCAAUAACGCCCCUAACGUGCUGGUAGGAAAAUUUUGCAUCAGCAAAACUGACUUGGUACUGAGAGAACUCGGCGCGCAACUUAUCUGAGUAACAUUCGUCAGAAGCCAACUUAGCAACGCUGGUUUCAAUAAACUUCUUAAAAGAUAAGUGGAUGAAGUUUUUGCUCUGGUGUUUUAGCAUUUGACAUGGCAAAACCUUCAGCGUUUGGCUGAACAUCAACAUGUGCUACAUUUCUGUGACGGGUUAGUCCUCGUUUUGUUUUGCAAAUUUUGUCGCACGUCUCGCAUGGAAAUCCUUCAACAGGAGGAGUUGAUUCUAUUUCAUCCAUUAAAACAUUCAAAUCAGCAUCAAAAGCUUCACUUUCUAUCUGUAAAUCUGUAUCAAGAUUUGCCAAAAGAGCAUCUAAAUCGUCCCCAAAGAUAAUGUGCACGUAGAAGACUGGGUACGAGUUAGCAUCAACAUUGGAAAGCAAACAAUAGCUGAAUUCAAAAGACAGUUGUUCGUUUCCAGACUAUCCCUUUCUUAUGACUAUGGGGUAGAAUACCAAAUCAGUGAGCAACAUAAGGAUUUGCACUAGCCAAGGACACGAAUUCACAAAGAAGAUAUCAUGAAGACAUAAAAUGGUUUGCCUGUUCUUUGGCGCUAAAAUCCCUUUGCAAACGAUACAUCCCUGAGAAGCAUUGCAACAGGUUUAGUUGAAUACUAUGAAUGCAAAAUGAUACUGUCAAUGCACUUGUGAAAGAUGACUGAAUUUCCAUUGAAGGUAAUUGGCUCACAUAAUAUUCAUGCUAAGAGUGAUGCAGAAGUUUUGCUUGUCAAGAGAACAAUUAGGAAAGCAAAGAAAAUCAAACCAUAUUUGUUGGGGAUAAUACAGAUUUUCUAAUCCUACUCUUAAAUCGUGCAGCAGACAAAGACCCAGAAUUCAAAGUGGUGAAUGUCUUGGGAUAUCUUAAGGACGAAGCAGCUUUGAAAGAAACAGUCUCUCAACAUAUUCUGUAUAUCUCUCAUCUAUGGAUCUUGGAAAAAGCAAUUACUUUGAAAAUUGUGAGACAUAUUAAAGAAUUUCAUCAGCAGGCUAAGAUUUUUAAAACUCGCAGUCAAGGAGAAGACAUUAAAAAGGCGAGGGAGAAGACUUUAGUUUGCUUGUACAACUGAACCGAUCACAUGUCCCUUGAUAGCCUUCGGUUCAAAGAUUUUGCAAGAAAGUUGCCAAUAAAGUUCAUUUGUUGAAGCCCAGAGCCUACCACCAACAUUAAAGUCCACAAAGUACAACUGUGGAGAGAAAAAGCACGAGAAACUCCAUCCAAAGGACUGGGCUAGAUGCUUACAGACGAAAAGUUAAUGCAAACUAAGAUAGAUCUACUGCAACACCUAAAGAAGUCUGAAUUUGCAGCCAACGCCCAAAUUAGACCACAUCCAAAGCUGUCGAUUUAUAAAGACGACAAAACUCAAUUCAGGUUUAAAAUUAUAAAUAACUUACCAUUAUAUUCUCCUGACCAAAGUUACUUCCUUUCGUAAGUCGACCAUGUAAUAACCAACUCAAUAAGAACCAAGAAUGGUGGAUUUUAACCUCUAGAAAUAACCUGUGAUUUCAAAGCUUUUCCCACGUUAGACUUUAUUAUACGUUCUUUUACUAUGUUAUAAAACAGCUAUUCAGUAACAUAAGGCUCCAAAAAAAUUAUGUUGCAAUCUGUUCUAGGUUCAUUUCUUAUUUACUCGACCAUGAAAGACAGCAUCCUUUCUGACAAUUUCCUUAUUCUGGUCCUCAACAGGCCUACUUCUUUUCAACGCUUUCACUUAUGAAUUUUUUUGUUAAAGUAAAUUAAAUAUUAGGUUUUCUUUUAUUAUGUUGCUGUGCUAUGUACCUCUUUUGAUGCAGAAUGGUUGCCGGUUCCUGGAGGCAUUUCUUAAAUAUUGCAUGCCUAUUCUCGACUUGACUCUCAAGAAAAAUAAGGAAGAAGUUCACGGGGUUUUAAAGAACCUGCAGCAAAGCACUCGGUCUUUGCAUCACUUCUGUGGGCACUCAAA